rnacentral:rRNA from 1 species
UCUUGGUCAUUUAGAGGAAGUAAAAGUCGUAACAAGGUCUCCGUUGGUGAACCAGCGGAGGGAUCAUUAAAGAGUUAUUACAACUCCCAAACCCAUGUGAACUUACCUUCUGUUGCCUCGGCAGGUCGCGACCUACCCUGUGAGGCCCUACCCUGUAGGGCCCUACCUGGUAGUCGCGGGUACGCCUGCCGGUGGCCCAUGAAACUCUGUUUAUUCUUGUUAUUCUGAAUCUAUAACUAAAUAAGUUAAAACUUUCAACAACGGAUCUCUUGGUUCUGGCAUCGAUGAAGAACGCAGCGAAAUGCGAUAAGUAAUGUGAAUUGCAGAAUUCAGUGAAUCAUCGAAUCUUUGAACGCACAUUGCGCCCAUUAGUAUUCUAGUGGGCAUGCCUGUUCGAGCGUCAUUUCAACCCUUAAGCCCCUGUUGCUUAGCGUUGGGAGCCUACAGCCUUCUGUAGCUCCCUAAAGUUAGUGGCGGAGUCGGUUUACACUCUAGACGUAGUAAAUUUUAUCUCGUCUGUAGUUAGGCCGGUCCCUCGCCGUAAAACGGGCCUAAUUUUUAAAGGUUGACCUCGGAUCAGGUAGGAAUACCCGCUGAACUUAAGCAUAUCAAUAAGGCGGAGGA